AUAAGUUAAUACUGGUGAAUCAAGUAGCCCAGAAAAGUAUUGGUAGGUUCAUAAGUUAAUACUGGUGAAUCAAGUAGCCCAGAAAAGUAUUGGUAGGUUCAUAAGUUAAUACUGGUGAAUCAAGUAGCCCAGAAAAGUAUUGGUAGGUUCAUAAGUUAAUACUGGUGAAUCAAGUAGCCCAGAAAAGUAUUGGUAGGUUCAUAAGUUAAUACUGGUGAAUCAAGUAGCCCAGAAAAGUAUUGGUAGGUUCAUAAGUUAAUACUGGUGAAUCAAGUAGCCCAGAAAAGUAUUGGUAGGUUCAUAAGUUAAUACUGGUGAAUCAAGUAGCCCAGAAAAGUAUUGGUAGGUUCAUAAGUUAAUACUGGUGAAUCAAGUAG